GGUCGCCGGGGGAAGCACGUUCCCGGGCCCGCGCCCGCCCAAACGGUCUGUGGACCCUGGAGAAAAAGGGCUGGCUGAAUACGAAGAAAAUUGUCAAAACUUUCAACAAUGGAUCUCUUGGUUCCGGCAUCGAUGAAGAACGCAGCGAAAUGCGAUAAGUAAUGUGAAUUGCAGAAUUCCGUGAAUCAUCGAAUCUUUGAACGCACAUUGCGCCCCCUGGCAUUCCGGGGGGCAUGCCUGUCCGAGCGUCAUUUCUGCCCUCAAGCACGGCUUGUGUGUUGGGUGUGGUCCCCCCGGGGACCUGCCCGAAAGGCAGCGGCGACGUCCGUCUGGUCCUCGAGCGUAUGGGGCUCUGUCACUCGCUCGGGAAGGACCUGCGGGGGUUGGUCACCACCAUAUUUUUACCACGGUUGACCUCGGAUCAAGUAGGAGUUACCCGCUUGACUUAAGCAUAUCAAUAAAGCGGGAAA
rnacentral:rRNA from 1 species